AUUGAACGCUGGCGGCAGGCCUAACACAUGCAAGUCGAGCGAGCGGCGGACGGGUGAGUACUGUCUGGGAAACUGCUUGAUGGAGGGGGAUAACUACUGGAAACGGUAGCUAAUACCGCAUACCAUCAGAUGUGCCUAGAUGGGAUUAGCUAGUAGGUGGGGUAAUGGCUCACCUAGGCGACGAUCCCUAGCUGGUCUGAGAGGAUGAUCAGCCACAAUGGAACUUGUGCACGGUCCAGACUCCUACGGGAGGCAGCAGUGGGGAAUAUUGCACAAUGGGCGCGAGCCUGAUGCAGCCGUGCCGCGUGUGUGAAGAAGGCCUUCGGAUUGUAAAGCACUUUCAGCGGGGAGGCGUUACCCGCAGAAGAAGCACCGGCUAACUCCGUGCCAGCAGCCGCGGUAAUUC
rnacentral:rRNA from 1 species